GCGUACGGCUACCACGCAUGCGCGCGCCGGGGAGUGUAGGAAAAUAGUUCGAUAUUAACGCUUUUGGAGUUGUUGUAAGUAAGAAGAGAGUGUAAAACUUUUCAGCUGUAGGAGUUCUGUGGUUAAUCUUUCUAGCGUAGGCGGCGGGCGCGGCUAUAUAAAUAUAAUUACACAGUAGUGCGAGCGAGAUUGGGCCGAAUUCUUAGAUCAAGCACCGAGAAGUUGGUAGGACGAGAUUUGACGAGAACUUUUGUGAAACUUGAAAACGCCGGGGGAUAGUUUCAAGACCUGAAUUUUAAAACUUUUUGAAACAACUAGAAGAACUCUUAGGAUUUUUAUUCAAAUUUUAGGUAUGUUGAUGUAAAGAACUGGAACCGUUACAUCCAUUUUGUAAAUAAACAAGUUGGUCGCUAGGCUUUGGUGCUGUUGCUACGUCAUACAUCUUGAAGGUCAAGGGCAGAAGGACGUUCGUGAAAAGACGAAGUUUUUUUUUUACUCACGGGAGCAAAGUGUGUUUGUCAGUAAACCAAGCAAGUCUUUG